GGAAGUGGAGUCAGACAGGAGCCCUACCGAGGCUCCAGGUCAGUGGGCCGGGUUGGGCUGGACUGGAGGAGGGAGUGGUGCCAGAGGAUCCUCCCCAGGGCAGAUGGCUAUUUUUGGUGUCGACUGCUCGGCUUAUAGCCACCCCUCUUCCUGUCUUCCCAAUCCAAAGAGGCUCUGGGUCCAGCAGGGGCAGGAGCAGUAGGAGAAAUCUUUAGCCCUGCAGCAGGGCAGCUCUGGGGUCAGUCUCUAGCUCAGGAACCAGCCCGUUCCCCCCUACAGUGAGGCCUGACCCUCAGUACCUUGGGUCUGAGGGGAAGGGGGGCCUUACUUCCAAUCCUUGAAAUAGCAGUGCGGCAAAGAGAGAUUAUUAGGAUGGCCAGACAGACAGACACAGCCAGACCCACCAUAAUAGUCACACACAUUAACUUGCUGAUGUGGGCUGCGGGCACAGCCUCACGCCAACACCAUCACACUCACAGCCAUUCAUUCUCAUAGCCAUGCCCACAGCUACACGUGGGCCACAGACGGCUGAACCACACGGACAUACCAGCACAGGCACAAUGUCACCUGUCCCAUCUGGGAGAACAGGAACCCCUUCUCUCUCACGGUUGUACUCCCAGAAAGGAACUCAAUUCCCAGCACAUUGCAGAUGCGCACUAAUAUUUGGCUGCUGACACCACUCGAGGAAACCAGCCAGCCUUGGGGGCUCUGACGCUGGAUGCAGCCCUCCCAGGAAAUAGCUCCACUGGCUGCAGUAACUGGAGGCUCCUGAGCCACAUUUCAGCCUGCAGUGGGUGGUGGGUGGGCCCCAGCCCAACUGCUGCCCUGCCCCAGGAAGAAGCAGGCCCGUCAAAAUGUCUGACCCCAUCCGUCCCCCUAUCCCCUCCCCUGCCCCAGUCUGUCCUCAGUCCUGAUCCCCCUGCCCGCCCCA
rnacentral:lncRNA from 1 species